UCUUUGAACGCAAAUGGCGUUCUCGGGGUCUUCUCGAGAGCACGUCUGCCUGAGUGCCCGUUUCCUGUGGCUGCUGCAGUUGCGUGCAGUGGCGAGUUGAAGUGUCGCCCUGCCCACAGUUGAGUGGGGCGUCCUUUGAAGGGAGGCAACUGCUGCAAGGUCCACCUGGUGGGCUUGCGCACGCGACUGAGCCACUGUCGUCGUGCCCUGCCCCCGGUCGGUGUGUGUCCUUGCGGAUUGAAGGUAUGGAUGACGUAGCACCAAUGUGGGCCUCAGGUCAGAUGAGGCGACCCGCUGAAUUUAAGCAUAUUAAUAAGCGGAGGAAAAGAAACUAACCAGGAUUCCCCCAGUAGCGGCGAGUGAAGCGGGAACAGCCCAAGCCUGUAAUCUCCGAUGCGUUGCAUCGGCGAAUUGUAGUCUGGAGAAGGGCCAUCCUCGCAUCGGUCCUCCCGAAGUCGCCGAGGAAAGGCGCGCCAGAGAGGGUGAUAGCCCCGUGCGUGGGAGCGACCGACUGUGGGACUCGAGGCCUCUUCGGAGAGUCGGGUUGUUUGGGAUUGCAGCCCAAAGUGGGUGGUAAACUCCAUCUAAGGCUAAAUACUGGCACAAGACCGAUAGUGAACMAGUACCGUGAGGGAAAGGUGAAAAG
rnacentral:rRNA from 1 species